rnacentral:rRNA from 1 species
UACGAAGGGGGCUAGCGUUGCUCGGAAUCACUGGGCGUAAAGGGUGCGUAGGCGGGUCUUUAAGUCAGGGGUGAAAUCCUGGAGCUCAACUCCAGAACUGCCUUUGAUACUGAAGAUCUUGAGUUCGGGAGAGGUGAGUGGAAUUGCGAGUGUAGAGGUGAAAUUCGUAGAUAUUCGCAAGAACACCAGUGGCGAAGGCGGCUCACUGGCCCGAUACUGACGCUGAGGAGCGAAAGCCAGGGGAGCAAACGGG